rnacentral:rRNA from 1 species
GACGAACGCUGGCGGCGUGCUUAACACAUGCAAGUCGAACGGAAAGGCCCUGCUUUUGUGGGGUGCUCGAGUGGCGAACGGGUGAGUAACACGUGAGUAACCUGCCCUUGACUUUGGGAUAACUUCAGGAAACCGGGGCUAAUACCGGCUAGCAGCUCCUGCUGCAUGGGGGGGGUUGGAAAGUUUCGGCGGUUGGGGAUGGACUCGCGGCUUACCAGCUGGUUGGUGGGGUAGUGGCUUACCAAGGCUUUGACGGGUAGCCGGCCUGGGAGGGUGACCGGCCACAUUGGGACUGAGAUACGGCCCAGACUCCUACAGGAGGCAGCAGUGGGGAAUAUUGCACAGUGGGCGGAAGCCUGAUGCAGCAACGCCGCGUGCGGGAUGACGGCCUUCGGGUUGUAAACCGCUUUCGCCUGUGACGAAGCGUGAGUGACGGUAAUGGGUAAAGAAGCACCGGCUAACUACGUG